GUUCAUGAUGAUGGAAUUUUUCUUCACUUUGACCUGAUGUCUCAUGAAGAAACCUAACCUCUGAGA
ensembl:snoRNA